rnacentral:rRNA from 1 species
GAUGAACGCUGGCGGCGUGCCUAAUACAUGCAAGUCGAGCGAACAGACGAGGAGCUUGCUCCUCUGACGUUAGCGGCGGACGGGUGAGUAACACGUGGAUAACCUACCUAUAAGACUGGGAUAACUUCGGGAAACCGGAGCUAAUACCGGAUAAUAUAUUGAACCGCAUGGUUCAAUAGUGAAAGACGGUUUUGCUGUCACUUAUAGAUGGAUCCGCGCCGCAUUAGCUAGUUGGUAAGGUAACGGCUUACCAAGGCAACGAUGCGUAGCCGACCUGAGAGGGUGAUCGGCCACACUGGAACUGAGACAGGGUCCAGACCCCAACGGGAGGAAGAAGUAGGGAAUCUUCCGCAAGGGGCGAAAGCCUGAGGGAGCAACGCCGGGGGAGGGAUGAAGGUCUUCGGAUCGUAAAACUUUGUUAUUGGGGAAAAAAAAUUGUGUAAGUAACUAUGCACGUCUUGACGGUACCUAAUAAGAAAGCCACGGCUAACUACGUG